rnacentral:rRNA from 1 species
GACGUAGGGCGCGAGCGUUGUCCGGAUUUAUUGGGCGUAAAGAGCUCGUAGGCGGCUUGUCGCGUCGACUGUGAAAUCCCGUGGCUCAACUGCGGGCUUGCAGCUGAUACGGGCAGGCUUGAGUUCGGUAGGGGAGACUGGAAUUCCUGGUGUAGCGGUGAAAUGCGCAGAUAUCAGGAGGAACACCGGUGGCGAAGGCGGGUCUCUGGGCCGAUACUGACGCUGAGGAACGAAAGCGUGGGGAGCGAACAGG